AUGGGCCCGCGGCCUAUCAGCUUGUUGGUGGGGUAAUGGCCUACCAAGGCGACGACGGGUAGCCGGCCUGAGAGGGUGACCGGCCACACUGGGACUGAGAUACGGCCCAGACUCCUACGGGAGGCAGCAGUGGGGAAUAUUGCACAAUGGGCGCAAGCCUGAUGCAGCGACGCCGCGUGAGGGAUGACGGCCUUCGGGUUGUAAACCUCUUUCAGUAGGGACGAAGCGCAAGUGACGGUACCUAUAGAAGAAGGACCGGCCAACUACGUGCCAGCAGCCGCGGUAAUACGUAGGGUCCGAGCGUUGUCCGGAAUUACUGGGCGUAAAGAGCUCGUAGGUGGUUUGUCGCGUUGUUCGUGAAAACUCACAGCUCAACUGUGGGCGUGCGGGCGAUACGGGCAGACUGGAGUACUGCAGGGGAGACUGGAAUUCCUGGUGUAGCGGUGGAAUGCGCAGAUAUCAGGAGGAACACCGGUGGCGAAGGCGGGUCUC
rnacentral:rRNA from 1 species